rnacentral:rRNA from 1 species
AUGAACGCUGGCGGCGUGCCUAAUACCUGCAAGUCGAGCGAACAGACGAGGAGCUUGCUCCUCUGACGUUAGCGGCGGACGGGUGAGUAACACGUGGAUAACCUACCUAUAAGACUGGGAUAACUUCGGGAAACCGGAGCUAAUACCGGAUAAUAUAUUGAACCGCAUGGUUCAAUAGUGAAAGACGGUUUUGCCGUCACUUAUAGAUGGAUCCGCGCCGCAUUAGCUAGUUGGUAAGGUAACGGCUUACCAAGGCAACGAUGCGUAGCCGACCUGAGAGGGUGAUCGGCCACACUGGAACUGAGACACGGUCCAGACUCCUACGGGAGGCAGCAGUAGGGAAUCUUCCGCAAUGGGCGAAAGCCUGACGGAGCAACGCCGCGUGAGUGAUGAAGGUCUUCGGAUCGGAAAACUCUGUUAUUAGGGAAGAACAAAUGUGUAAGUAACUAUGCACGUCUUGACGGUACCUAAUCAGAAAGCCACGGCUAACUACGUG